rnacentral:rRNA from 1 species
UACGUAGGGGGCUAGCGUUGUCCGGAAUCAUUGGGCGUAAAGCGCGUGUAGGCGGUCCGGUAAGUCCGCUGUGAAAGUCGGGGGCUCAACCCUCGAAUGCCGGUGGAUACUGUCGGGCUAGAGUGCGGAAGAGGCGAGUGGAAUUCCUGGUGUAGCGGUGAAAUGCGCAGAUAUCAGGAGGAACACCAAUUGCGAAGGCAGCUCGCUGGGACGUUACUGACGCUGAGACGCGAAAGCGUGGGGAGCGAACAG